rnacentral:tRNA from 1 species
GCCGGUGUAGCUCAGUCGGUAGAGCAACUGAUUUGUAAUCAGUAGGUCGCGGGUUCGAAUCCCGCCGCCGGCC